CGCUUAUAUUGUGAGCAAUGAGGGGAAGAAGAUGGUUAGGAUUCGUUCCAACGGGAUUUCAGUUACGUCGUUUCAGUUCAUUUGAAGCUCCUCCUGUUCCUCCUCUUCGAAGAGUUGUUGUUACUGGUGUAGGGAUGGUGACUCCCCUUGGGUGUGGAGUGGAAACCACAUGGAAGAGGCUAAUAGAAGGGGAAUGUGGUGUGAGAGCAAUAGGUCCUGAUGAUUUGAAGAUGAAUGGUUUUGAACCGGAAGUUAAGAUGUAUACAUUUGAUCAGUUGACAUCCAAAGUUGCUGCAGUUGUGCCCUAUGGUUCUAGCUCAGGUGAAUUCGACGAGCAGUUGUGGCUAAACUCGAAGGAGCAUAGAUCGAUUGCAAGAUUUAUAGGAUAUGCUUUAUGUGCUGCUGAUGAAGCUCUUAAAGAUGCUAAUUGGAUGCCCACUGAGCAAAAUGAAAAGGAACAGACGGGUGUUUCCUUAGGUGCUGGAACUGGAAGUAUCAGUGACAUAUUGGAAGCGUCCAGAAUGAUCUGUGAAAAGAAUAUACGCCGGCUUAGUCCAUUUUUCAUCCCACGGAUAUUGAUCAACAUGGCUUCUGGUCAUGUAAGCAUGAAGUAUGGAUUUCAGGGACCAAAUCAUUCUUCAGUUACAGCUUGUGCCACUGGAGCUCAUUCAAUUGGUGAUGCUG
rnacentral:misc_RNA from 1 species